AACGAACGCUGGCGGCAUGCCUAACACAUGCAAGUCGAACGAGACCUUCGGGUCUAGUGGCGCACGGGUGCGUAACGCGUGGGAACCUGCCCUUAGGUUCGGGAUAACUCCCUGAAAGGGGUGCUAAUACCGGAUAAUGUCUUCGGGCCAAAGAUUUAUCGCGCUUGGAGGGGCGCGCGCUGGAUUAGCUAGUGGGUAGGGUAAAAGCCUACCAAAGCGACGAUCCAUAGCUGGUCUGAGAGGAUGAUCAGCCACACUGGGACUGAGACACGGCCCAGACUCCUACGGGAGGCAGGAGUGGGGAAUAUUGGAAUAUGGGCGAAAGCCUGAUCCAGCAAUGCCGCGUGAGUAAUGAAGGCCUGAGGGUUGUAAAGCUCUUUUACCCGGGGAGAUAAUGACGGUACCGGGAGAAUAAGCUCCGGCUAACUCCGUG
rnacentral:rRNA from 1 species